rnacentral:tRNA from 1 species
AGGUCUAUCGCCAAGCGGUAAGGCAACGGGUUUUGAUCCCGUCAUCCCAUGGUUCGAAUCCAUGUAGCCCUGCCA